ACCCAUGCAUGCGAAACAGCAAAGCGCGGCUUUUUUGAUGGCUUGAUAACCUUAGCAAGAAAAUAGGCUCAAACCAAACCCAACCAACUACAUUGAGGUAUCGUGGUUUUUUUAGGUAACAUGAUGAACAGUUGCGAAAAAUAGACGCAAGCCAUAUCAGUGUGUUACGGAACGGAUUCCAGGUGUCCCGCCAGAAAUGGUCAAAUGUAAAAGAGAACCAAUACAUGCGACAUAUCAUUGACUUAUUCAGUAACAUGAUAAACGGUUAGCCAGCAAAUAAUCACAGACCAUAUUUGGGAGAACCGGUAGUGUUCCAGAACUGGUGAUGAGACGAGUAACCCGCCGGAAGUGGUAAAAUAUAGAGGGAAAUCAAACCAGAGCAGCGUUUUUGAUAAUCUGAUUAACGGUCAACAAGAAAAUAGUCUCAGGCCACAUCUAGAACUACUAAUAGUAUUUUGGAAUCGGUUGCGGGUGUUCCAUCGGAAGUGAUUUAAUACUAAUAGCGAACCAAAAUCAUGCAUGCGAUACAGAAAAUCGCGGCUUUUUCAAAAAAUUUCCGAACAUUCAGCAAGAAAAUAGCUUUCUGCUUUUGGCAACCCGAUGAACAGUUGACUAAAACAUAAUCUCAGACCAUAUUUGAGACAAACGGAAUCGGUUCCAGGUGUCCCGCCGAAAAAGGUCAAACGUAAAAUUUAACAAAACCCAUGCAAGCUGCACAUCAAAUAGCGGAAUUAUAAAGGUGAACAAAAUGAAUGUCAAAGCGAUAAAUCAAAUUGCGGCUUUUUUGAUAGCAUGUAAACGUUGUGUAAGACUAUAAGUGAAGAAAUGGUCAAAGUCUUCAUAUAUGCAAGAGAACAAAAUCGUGACCAAAGCGAUAUCUUCAAAUCACACCAUUUCAGAUCCCUGCGGUGAAAAUGUAUAGUAGGAUGGAUCAACGUUUUAUGGAAAAUAUUUAAUCUAAUUGCAUCAACACCUUAUACAGUUUUUCAAUCUUCAAUCUCCUAAUGCUUCUAAAAUUAUAGCUCACAAUUUGGGUGCGGCUGGUUGAGCCCUCACUCUUCUCAUUGCGAUUGAAAUUUGAAUGAAAAAAUUACACAAUUGCUGAAAUAAACAUUGACGAAGAUCACAAAGUGAUCUGUGAUUGUGAAUAAAGUUAACCUUCCUCAUGCAUUAGCUGACGCUCACCCCGCUGCCGUAGUGGAUGGAAUGGGGUCAUAAUGACUCCAAUACACGACUAGGGUUAAGGUGGUCAAGCAGUCAACUGAGAGGUCUGAUAUUUUCAGCUCUGUUUUGCUGUUGAACAUAGCAUCGGAAUAUGUAUCAUCAAUAAGUUUCGAAAAUCGAUGAUGGCUUUGUUAAAAUUGUUGCUUUUCUAUAUGAAGUGUUUUCAGGGUUCAGGAACAUUUUGGCUAACGUCGACGAAAAGUUCAUGAGUACAUAUUCGACGAGAAAGGCACUAUCACCGCUAGGUGGAUUAAUCUGUUUUUUUUCUUGAAAUAAUUAAAAAUUCACCUAUUUAUUCUCUAGGAAUUCUCUACGGUAGAUUUCCCAACAAUUUGAUGACCAAUUUGCUUUCUAGAGGUUUUGAGAACCGUCAUAAAACCAUGAUAAUUUUAUUUUGGAUUUAUGAUGGUUCUUAUAAGUUCCUCAAAGCAACUCGACUUAAAAAUGUUACUUUGAUUCUAUGAAUUCCUUCUGAAGAUUCACAAGGAAUAAGCUUAGAAUCUUUUGAAGCUUAUCAUCGGAAACCUCUCCAGGGAGUGCUUCAGAAUUUCCUUUGAAGAUUUCUUUAAAAAUUCUUUCGAAGAUUUGUUAAUUAAAUCAUCCAGUGGCUUACACAAUUUUGCAGAUUUUUUCGGGGAUUUUUUUUUCUGGGAUUCCUCCAGAGAUUCCUGCAGGUGUUCAUGAGAUUUCUUCAGUAUUUCCUCCAAAUAUUCCUUGAUGAUUUUCUCUUAGGAUAACUUCAACCAUUUCUUGACGAAUUUAUUAGGAUUUUUUCCAAAAGUAUUUCCUUGGAAUUUCUACGGAAAUUCGAUUAGAAAUAUCUCAAUUUCUUGUGAUCUAAGUAUCUUAUGUAGACGCAGACUCCAGGUAUUCAGGAUUUUUUUAUCAGAAAUUCGUCCACAGAUUUCUCCAAGAAUACUUCCAGAAUUUUUACCCUGAAUUUCUACUUUAAUAUUUUUUUCUAGGAAUUCCACCAAAGAAUUACCCUAAUAUUUUUUGGGUCCUCCUUAGAUUCAAUCAAAAGUAUUUUCUAAGAUUUCACUGAAGGUUUCUUCACUACCAACAAAUUUUGCACCGGAAUGUGGAAUUUCGCUGAAGUCCACAUAAACAAAUGAGAGGUACAAGCAAACGGUCCAGCUUCCUAAUCACGGAGCUACUCAGGCAUUCUUUUAUAAAUUCUUGCUAGGAUUCCUUUUUAGGAAAUACGUUUGUCUCCAGAAACAUAAAUUUAGUGAAUUCUAAAGGAAUUCCAGCAUGGAAUUUCUUCAGAAGCUAUUGCAAAAAGUUUUUCAGAAAUUCUUCUCAAAAUUUGAUUAUAAAUCUUACAGGGAUUGCAUCGGAAAUUGUAUCCAGGGCUUUAAAAAGAAUUCUUUUGAAAAAAAUCCUUCAGUGAUUUCUACAUAAAUUCCGACAAGGUUUGUUUUCAAAAAUAUCUCCCGGGAUGUCUUAAGAGGUGUCUUAAGAGGUCUUAAGAGGUGUUUAGAUGUGCCUUCAAUGUUUUCAGAAGUUCUUCCAGAAAUUGCACAAACACAAAAUAUUUUUUAAAGGACGUGAUGGAAUUUCAGAGAAAUUCCUAAUGGAUUGCUUCAAAAAAUCCCUCAAAAUUUCCGGAAAUACCUCUGGAAGCUCCUACAAGAAAUUCUUGAAAAUUGUGUGAAGAAAUUCCCUUAGCAAUUUCUUAAGAUAUCUUGUGCACAAUUGUUGGAUGAAUAUUCAGAACAAUACCUUGGAUAAUACCUGUAGAAGCAUCUUAAAAUACGCAGAAUACUCAUAAAUAAAUAAAAACGUGAAAGGCUUAUGGAGGAACUCUUCAAGUAAUUCCAAGGAAAAAAAGGCUUGAGAAACCACUACAGGUGUUCCUGGCAAAAUCUACAGAGUAAAUUCCGAAUGAGUCUCCUUAAAAUGACUACGGAAAUCGCAGACAAAGGUACUGGUGUAAUUCUUGAUGAAAUCCCUCAAUAAAUUUUAAAGGGUACUCUCAAGGAUUUUCUUAACGAACCCUUGGAAGAACUCUAGAAGAGGAAUUAUAAUAGAACCCCUUAACAAAUCCCGGGAGGAAUUACGAGAGAAAUUUCUGAGAAUUGACCAGUUUCAAGACAAAUCUUUUGAGAAAUUUCUUGAGAAAUUCCUGAAGAAGUGCCAAGACAAAUUUCUGGGGGUAUUCCUGAAAGAAUCUCCUUAGAGAAAUUUACGGAUAUGGAUGCAUUUUGAAGGGAAACUAAGAGAAAUCUUUAGAGGAAUUACUGCAGUCUAUGAAAUCCUUCUUCAGAAAAUGUAUGAUAAACCUUCAAAGAAUGCCCAAAGCAGUUUCUGGUGGUGUACCUGAAUGUAAUCCUGGAGAAUUUCUAGAAAUUUUAAGGAAAAUUCUUGCAAAACUGGUUCUUGAAAUGUGCUAUUCACAACAAAUUUUAUGAAAUAAUAAUGCAUGGAAGAGUUUUCCCCCCCGCAAGCGAAAAAUAGGCAACAAAGAAGAGACGGCAACAACGCUUUGUUUUUUCAUUAGCAGAUAAUGACAAAGAUCGUUCCCGAGUUUGUUUGCAACAAAAACGAUAGGAAUAUUUGUCUCGUUCUCUUCACAUCGUGAUUUUCGCAUUGUUUUUCAACUGAAAUUCGACUUUAACGUUUGCAAAAGUUCUAAUUCAUCCAAAUGCUUAUAAAUUCGACGAUGUGGGUCGAAAAUUUCAGCAGAAAAGCCGAAAUAUCAACACACGCACGGCAAGCGAUGUUUGUUUUCUUGCUCUCGUCGCCUGACAUGCGUUUGUUGCGGAGCGCCUUUGUUACUGUUGCCGCUGGGAGCACUGCCUUCUCUUGCUCAUGGUGACAUACGAAUGACAGGAGCGAAUUGUGUGUAGAAUGAACAGAAGGAAAUAUUGAAACCAAAAGUGACUUGCAAUCUGUGUAUCUCAAACUAUAUUUAAAGGGCUAUUCUAUUUUAAUAGCUCUAUUUAAUACUAGUAAUUUGUUAUUCUAAUUAUGGCUAGAGAGAACUAGAUUACAAUGCUGGACUUAUCUAAGCUGUCAUAUCAACUACAGUGAAUGGAUUUAUAACUACUAUUAAUUGUGCGCGAUUAGGCAGAUUAAGGCGAUUUACACGGUGAAGACACUGAAAGUUUUAAAGCUGCGCUAAACUAUACCUACAGGUCUGGUGCUGCUAACAACCCAGUGUCCGAAAAUGCAAUCUGCUGCUCGCCGUAACAGUUACCAACAUGCACCGCUUAGGACAAAGCGUUUGUUUUUCGGCGUGAUCCGUUUUUCGUACCCUACUCCAUGAACGUCUUUCAGGGUUCCGAUAGUGUUUGUUUCAGGGCUUGUUCCAAGAAAUGCUUCUGGAAUUUGUCCCACGAUUCUCUCAGAAAUCCUUACAGAUACUUUUGGAAGGAUACAAUCGAAGAUUUUUUCCAUGAAAUUUCCCAUAGCUAUCUUUAGUAAUUUCAUCACGGAUUCUUUCAGAUUUCCUCCAAAAACUUCACCAGACAUCCUUCCGAGAUUUUUCGGUAUGGGGCUGUCCAUAAAUCACGUGGUCUUGCUUUCUGAACUUUGGACCUCCGAAGACUGCUUUAAUAGUUCCAAAGAGUUCUGACUUCUGAGGGGUUCAUCCGGGAGUUCCUACCGGAAUUCCUCCAGGAAGUCUCCUGGAAAUUGCUCUAGGAGUUCCGCCGGAAAUGUAUCCCGGAUUUUUUCUGGGAUUUUUAAUUUAUAUUUUUUCCUAUAUAAGUAGCAUCGUGAAUUAUUUCAGGAGUUUGAUCAGGAAUUCCUUCAGGAGUAACUUUGAGAACUUCUGCAGGAGUUACUCCGGAAUUGAUCCAAGAAUUCCUCCAGGAGCUUCUCCGGAAAUUUCUCCAGGAGUUGCUCCAAGAAUACCUCUGACAGUUUCACUGGGAAUGCCUCUAGGAGUUUUACUAGGAGUUUCUAGAGGAGUUUCACUAGACAUUUCAUUAGGAAUUUCAUCGGGAACUCCUCGAGGAGAUGCAUAGGAAAUUUCUCUGGAAGUUCUGUCGGGAUUUCCUGUAAAAAUAAUCAUAAGAAAUCUCAUUUGGAGGUGCGCUGGCAUUUCACUGGGAAUGUUUCCAAUUUUGCUACUGGGAAUUCUUCUAGGAAUGCCACUGGGAAUUUCUUAACCUUUCAGGACGCGCGCCUGUUUGAUCCUAAAACUACACCGCGCUCGCGCUGUAUACGACGAGCGAGGUUUUUUGGUAAUGUUGUACUUUUUACAACAGCGCCCGUUCUGAAGGGUUAAGAAAUCACUCCUGAAAUUCGUCCAUCAGUUCUUUUGCGAAUACUUCCAGGAUUUCUUCCGAUAACUAUUUCGUCGCUUAUUUUAUCUGUGCGAGUUCCACUACGAAUUUCUCCAGGCUUUCCACUGAAAAUUUUUCUAAGAUUUCCGGUGGGAAUUUCACUAGGAGUUGAACUGGGAAUUUCUCCAGAAGCAAUAGAGUGAACAGUAAAAACUAUGCGUUUAUUGACAUUUUUUUUUUCAUCACAAUGUUGUGGUAAACACUACUGUUUGGAUCUUUUUGAUCUUUUCAUUUGAGAACCACAAAAUGGUAUUUCCGGCAAGUAACGUGAUUUAUUUACACCACAAAUACAUUCACUUUCUUCAAAGCGCUAUAAGCUAUAAUGUGUUUAAAGUAACAAAUAUCAAGAACAAGACAUUUCUCUAUAACAUCACAGAUAAAUGAAGCAAACCAUUUUCAGUUAAUUUAUUCAGCAUUAUUGCCAUUUAUUGCCAUUUCAGGAAUGCACUUAUCUGAAUUGAAUUGCUACGAACGCUUUUGAACAAAUCCAAAAAAAAGCGUUAACAAGAAGAGCUGCACUUGUACUUCAAAUUUGAAAUAGGAAAACCUAGGGUAUCUUCGGCAGUUUUGUUCUCUUCGUGUACAGUGGUUUUAAUCCACUAAGUUGACUCAAAAUUUGGUCGUACCAUUCAGCUUGGUAGGAAAAGUUUUGGAGCCGCUUUUGAGUUUAACGAGAAAUCCUCCACGACCAAGGAAACUGAACUGCCGGAAAUACUUCAGCUCCCAGCUGCCUCUGUCUUACUCAACUUCAUCAAGCACUUCACUUACGUUAGUUGGAAUAUUGAUCAAAGAUGCUGCACAUUUGUUAUUAUUCUUUUGUUAAAUGUUUUUCAGUUUGUCUCUUGGAUCGAUGCCACGGAUUUUGUCGAGAAUCUUUCUUUCGUUGGCGGCGGCAUCGUCCUUUCAGGCAAAAUUGAUCGCUGUUACAUGGCUCUGAACACUUCUCGUUCGAGUCUGUAGGAGUGAAAAUCAUUUCCGAGGCACUUAGUCGAUAUGCUUCCGUCUGGGAUUCGUAGCCUUGCAUGACGUGCAAUAUAAUAAGGUUGUGUACGUAUGGAGUCACCGUCGGAACCGCGACAAUGACAAUUGAUAGGAAAAUAAUGCUCAGAUUUACAGUUUUCAUUAUGAAUAUUAGUCGCCAACGAAUUGAGAGCUACUUGUCUGAAAAGCGGUCACAUUAUAACUAACAAUCGAAGCGAAGAUGAUCCUCUCUUUAAGCGUUACAAUUGGUUUAUUGUGGGAAACCCGAAAUGAAAAUAGUUAGCUGUCGUGUUGUGAAAUGUACCGUAAUCCGGGGUAGCAUUGACCAAAAUAAUCAAUCUUAAUUUAUCAAUUCCGAUUUUUGAAGGAUUCCAAGGAUUUCUCCAGGGAUUCCAAGAACUCCAGGGAUUCCUUCAGGAAUUCCUCCAAGGAUUCAUUCAG